rnacentral:rRNA from 1 species
UACGUAGGGGGCGAGCGUUGUCCGGAAUUAUUGGGCGUAAAGAGCGUGUAGGCGGUUCGGUAAGUCUGCCGUGAAAACUCGGGGCUUAACCCCGGGCCUGCAGUGGGUACGGGCAGACUAGAGUGCGGUAGGGGAGACUGGAAUUCCUGGUGUAGCGGUGAAAUGCGCAGAUAUCAGGAGGAACACCGGUGGCGAAGGCGGGUCUCUGGGCCGUAACUGACGCUGGAGGAGCGAAAGCGUGGGGAGCGAACAGG